AUGAACGCUGGCGGCGUGCAUAACACAUUCAAGUCGAACGGACUUGACGGGAGCUUGCUCCUGUCAAGUUAGUGGCGGACGGGUGAGUAACGCGUGAGCAACCUGCCUUACAAAGCGGGAUAACAUCGGGAAACUGGUGCUAAUACCGCAUAACGUAUACUGUUCGCAUGUAUGGUAUACCAAAGUAGCAAUACGAUGUAAGAUGGGCUCGCGUCUGAUUAGCUUGAUGGCGGGGUAACGGCCCACCAUGGCUACGAUGUCUAGGGGUUCUGAGAGGAAGGUCCCCCACACUGGAACUGAGACACGGUCCAGACUCCUACGGGAGGCAGCAGUGAGGAAUAUUGGUCAAUGGUCUAACGACUGAACCAGCCAUGCCGCGUGAAGGUCACGGCCCUAUGGGUCUUAAACUUCUUUUGUAAGGGAGCAAUAAGCUUUACGUGUAGAGUGAUGAGAGUACCUUACGAAUAAGCAUCGGCUAACUCCGUG
rnacentral:rRNA from 1 species